GGGGCUGUAGCUCAGCUGGGAGAGCGCUUGCAUGGCAUGCAAGAGGUCGUCGGUUCGAUCCCGAUCAGCUCCA
rnacentral:tRNA from 1 species